AUUGAACGCUGGCGGCAGGCCUAACACAUGCAAGUCGAGCGGAUGAAGGGAGCUUGCUCCUGGAUUCAGCGGCGGACGGGUGAGUAAUGCCUAGGAAUCUGCCUGGUAGUGGGGGAUAACGUCCGGAAACGGGCGCUAAUACCGCAUACGUCCUGAGGGAGAAAGUGGGGGAUCUUCGGACCUCACGCUAUCAGAUGAGCCUAGGUCGGAUUAGCUAGUUGGUGGGGUAAAGGCCUACCAAGGCGACGAUCCGUAACUGGUCUGAGAGGAUGAUCAGUCACACUGGAACGGAGACACGGUCCAGACUCCUACGGGAGGCAGCAGUGGGGAAUGUUGGACAAUGGGCGAAAGCCUGAUCCAGCCAUGCCGCGUGUGUGAAGAAGGUCUUCGGAUUGUAAAGCCCUUUAAGUGGGGAGGAAGGGCAGUAAGUUAAUACCUUGCUGUUUUGACGUUACCAACAGAAUAAGCACCGGCUAACUUCGUG
rnacentral:rRNA from 1 species